rnacentral:rRNA from 1 species
GUGUCAGCAGCCGCGGUAAUACGGAGGGUGCAAGCGUUGUCCGGAUUUAUUGGGUUUAAAGGGUGCGUAGGCGGCCUAAUAAGUCAGUGGUGAAAGCCUCCAGCUUAACUGGAGAACUGCCAUUGAUACUGUUAGGCUUGAGUAUACUUGAGGUAGGCGGAAUUGACAGUGUAGCGGUGAAAUGCAUAGAUAUUGUCAAGAACACCAAUUGCGAAGGCAGCUUACUAAAUUAUAACUGACGCUGAGGCACGAAAGUGUGGGUAUCAAACAGGAUUAGAUACCCUUGUAGUCC